rnacentral:rRNA from 1 species
GGGACACGUGGUAUCCUGUCUGAAUAUGGGGGGACCAUCCUCCAAGGCUAAAUACUCCUGACUGACCGAUAGUGAACCAGUACCGUGAGGGAAAGGCGAAAAGAACCCCGGCGAGGGGAGUGAAAAAGAACCUGAAACCGUGUACGUACAAGCAGUGGGAGCACGCUUAGGCGUGUGACUGCGUACCUUUUGUAUAAUGGGUCAGCGACUUAUAUUCUGUAGCAAGGUUAACCGAAUAGGGGAGCCGAAGGGAAACCGAGUCUUAACUGGGCGUUAAGUUGCAGGGUAUAGACCCGAAACCCGGUGAUCUAGCCAUGGGCAGGUUGAAGGUUGGGUAACACUAACUGGAGGACCGAACCGACUAAUGUUGAAAAAUUAGCGGAUGACUUGUGGCUGGGGGUGAAAGGCCAAUCAAACCGGGAGAUAGCUGGUUCUCCCCGAAAGCUAUUUAGGUAGCGCCUCGUGAAUUCAUCUCCGGGGGUAGAGCACUGUUUCGGCAAGGGGGUCAUCCCGACUUACCAACCCGAUGCAAACUGCGAAUACCGGAGAAUGUUAUCACGGGAGACACACGGCGGGUGCUAACGUCCGUCGUGAAGAGGGAAACAACCCAGACCGCCAGCUAAGGUCCCAAAGUCAUGGUUAAGUGGGAAACGAUGUGGGAAGGCCCAGACAGCCAGGAUGUUGGCUUAGAAGCAGCCAUCAUUUAAAGAAAGCGUAAUAGCUCACUGGUCGAGUCGGCCUGCGCGGAAGAUGUAACGGGGCUAAACCAUGCACCGAAGCUGCGGCAGCGACGCUUAUGCGUUGUUGGGUAGGGGAGCGUUCUGUAAGCCUGUGAAGGUGUGCUGUGAGGCAUGCUGGAGGUAUCAGAAGUGCGAAUGCUGACAUAAGUAACGAUAAAGCGGGUGAAAAGCCCGCUCGCCGGAAGACCAAGGGUUCCUGUCCAACGUUAAUCGGGGCAGGGUGAGUCGACCCCUAAGGCGAGGCCGAAAGGCGUAGUCGAUGGGAAACAGGUUAAUAUUCCUGUACUUGGUGUUACUGCGAAGGGGGGACGGAGAAGGCUAUGUUGGCCGGGCGACGGUUGUCCCGGUUUAAGCGUGUAGGCUGGUUUUCCAGGCAAAUCCGGAAAAUCAAGGCUGAGGCGUGAUGACGAGGCACUACGGUGCUGAAGCAACAAAUGCCCUGCUUCCAGGAAAAGCCUCUAAGCAUCAGGUAACAUCAAAUCGUACCCCAAACCGACACAGGUGGUCAGGUAGAGAAUACCAAGGCGCUUGAGAGAACUCGGGUGAAGGAACUAGGCAAAAUGGUGCCGUAACUUCGGGAGAAGGCACGCUG